rnacentral:misc_RNA from 1 species
GAUGAAGAACGUAGCGAAACGCGAUAGGUAAUGUGAAUUGCAGAAUUCAGUGAAUCAUCGAAUCUUUGAACGCACAUUGCGCCCGCCAGUAUUCUGGCGGGCAUGCCUGUUCGAGCGUCAUUUCAACCAUCAAGCCCCCGGCUUGUGUUGGGGACCUGCGGCUGCCGCAGGCCCUGAAAACCAGUGGCGGGCUCGCUAGUCACUCCGAGCGUAGUAAUACAUCUCGCUCAGGGCGUGCUGCGGGUUCCGGCCGUUAAAAGCCUUAUUUACCCAAGGUUGACCUCGGAUCAGGUAGGAAGACCCGCUGAACUUAAGCAUAUCAAUAAGCGGAGGA